rnacentral:rRNA from 1 species
AGGGGGAGAACUACUGGAAACGGUAGCUAAUACCGCAUAACGUCGCAAGACCAAAGUGGGGGACCUUCGGGCCUCACACCAUCGGAUGUGCCCAGAUGGGAUUAGCUAGUAGGUGGGGUAAUGGCUCACCUAGGCGACGAUCCCUAGCUGGUCUGAGAGGAUGACCAGCCACACUGGAACUGAGACACGGUCCAGACUCCUACGGGAGGCAGCAGUGGGGAAUAUUGCACAAUGGGCGCAAGCCUGAUGCAGCCAUGCCGCGUGUAUGAAGAAGGCCUUCGGGUUGUAAAGUACUUUCAGCGAGGAGGAAGGCAUUAAGGUUAAUAACCUUGGUGAUUGACGUUACUCGCAGAAGAAGCACCGGCUAACUCCGUGCCAGCAGCCGCGGUAAUACGGAGGGUGCAAGCGUUAAUCGGAAUUACUGGGCGUAAAGCGCACGCAGGCGGUCUGUCAAGUCGGAUGUGAAAUCCCCGGGCUCAACCUGGGAACUGCAU